AUUGAACGCUGGCGGCAUGCCUAACACAUGCAAGUCGAACGGUAACGACGGAAGCUUGCUUCCGGGCGACGAGUGGCGGACGGGUGAGUAACACUUAGGAAUCUGCCCAGUAGUGGGGGACAACCAGGAGAAAUCCUGGCUAAUACCGCAUACGCACUACGGUGGAAAGUGGGGGACCUUCGGGCCUCACGCUAUUGGAUGAGCCUAAGUCGGAUUAGCUUGUUGGUGAGGUAAAGGCUCACCAAGGCGACGAUCCGUAGCUGGUCUGAGAGGACGAUCAGCCACACUGGGACUGAGACACGGCCCAGACUCCUACGGGAGGCAGCAGUGGGGAAUAUUGGACAAUGGGCGCAAGCCUGAUCCAGCAAUGCCGCGUGUGUGAAGAAGGCCUGCGGGUUGUAAAGCACUUUCAGUAGAGAAGAAAGGCCUAGGGUUAAUACCCCUGAGUCUUGACGUAACCUACAGAAGAAGCACCGGCUAACUCCGUG
rnacentral:rRNA from 1 species